GAUUAAGUUAUUAAGGGCGCACGGUGGAUGCCUUGGCACUAGAAGCCGAUGAAGGACGUUACUAACGACGAUAUGCUUUGGGGAGCUGUAAGUAAGCUUUGAUCCAGAGAUUUCCGAAUGGGGAAACCCAGCAUGAGUUAUGUCAUGUUAUCGAUAUGUGAAUACAUAGCAUAUCAGAAGGCACACCCGGAGAACUGAAACAUCUUAGUACCCGGAGGAAGAGAAAGAAAAUUCGAUUCCCUUAGUAGCGGCGAGCGAAACGGGAAGAGCCCAAACCAACAAGCUUGCUUGUUGGGGUUGUAGGACACUCUAUACGGAGUUACAAAGGACGACAUUAGACGAAUCAUCUGGAAAGAUGAAUCAAAGAAGGUAAUAAUCCUGUAGUCGAAAAUGUUGUCUCUCUUGAGUGGAUCCUGAGUACGACGGAGCACGUGAAAUUCCGUCGGAAUCUGGGAGGACCAUCUCCUAAGGCUAAAUACUCUCUAGUGACCGAUAGUGAACCAGUACCGUGAGGGAAAGGUGAAAAGCACCCCGGAAGGGGAGUGAAAUAGAACCUGAAACCGUGUGCUUACAAGUAGUCAGAGCCCGUUAAUGGGUGAUGGCGUGCCUUUUGUAGAAUGAACCGGCGAGUUACGAUUUGAUGCAAGGUUAAGCAGUAAAUGUGGAGCCGUAGCGAAAGCGAGUCUGAAUAGGGCGUUUAGUAUUUGGUCGUAGACCCGAAACCAGGUGAUCUACCCUUGGUCAGGUUGAAGUUCAGGUAACACUGAAUGGAGGACCGAACCGACUUACGUUGAAAAGUGAGCGGAUGAACUGAGGGUAGCGGAGAAAUUCCAAUCGAACCUGGAGAUAGCUGGUUCUCUCCGAAAUAGCUUUAGGGCUAGCCUCAAGUGAUGAUUAUUGGAGGUAGAGCACUGUUUGGACGAGGGGCCCCUCUCGGGUUACCGAAUUCAGACAAACUCCGAAUGCCAAUUAAUUUAACUUGGGAGUCAGAACAUGGGUGAUAAGGUCCGUGUUCGAAAGGGAAACAGCCCAGACCACCAGCUAAGGUCCCAAAAUAUAUGUUAAGUGGAAAAGGAUGUGGCGUUGCCCAGACAACUAGGAUGUUGGCUUAGAAGCAGCCAUCAUUUAAAGAGUGCGUAAUAGCUCACUAGUCGAGUGACACUGCGCCGAAAAUGUACCGGGGCUAAACAUAUUACCGAAGCUGUGGAUUGUCCUUUGGACAAUGGUAGGAGAGCGUUCUAAGGGCGUUGAAGCAUGAUCGUAAGGACAUGUGGAGCGCUUAGAAGUGAGAAUGCCGGUGUGAGUAGCGAAAGACGGGUGAGAAUCCCGUCCACCGAUUGACUAAGGUUUCCAGAGGAAGGCUCGUCCGCUCUGGGUUAGUCGGGUCCUAAGCUGAGGCCGACAGGCGUAGGCGAUGGAUAACAGGUUGAUAUUCCUGUACCACCUAUAAUCGUUUUAAUCGAUGGGGGGACGCAGUAGGAUAGGCGAAGCGUGCGAUUGGAUUGCACGUCUAAGCAGUAAGGCUGAGUAUUAGGCAAAUCCGGUACUCGUUAAGGCUGAGCUGUGAUGGGGAGAAGACAUUGAGUCUUCGAGUCGUUGAUUUCACACUGCCGAGAAAAGCCUCUAGAUAGAAAAUAGGUGCCCGUACCGCAAACCGACACAGGUAGUCAAGAUGAGAAUUCUAAGGUGAGCGAGCGAACUCUCGUUAAGGAACUCGGCAAAAUGACCCCGUAACUUCGGGAGAAGGGGUGCUCUUUAGGGUUAACGCCCAGAGGAGCCGCAGUGAAUAGGCCCAAGCGACUGUUUAUCAAAAACACAGGUCUCUGCUAAACCGUAAGGUGAUGUAUAGGGGCUGACGCCUGCCCGGUGCUGGAAGGUUAAGAGGAGUGGUUAGCUUCUGCGAAGCUACGAAUCGAAGCCCCAGUAAACGGCGGCCGUAACUAUAACGGUCCUAAGGUAGCGAAAUUCCUUGUCGGGUAAGUUCCGACCCGCACGAAAGGCGUAACGAUUUGGGCACUGUCUCAACGAGAGACUCGGUGAAAUCAUAGUACCUGUGAAGAUGCAGGUUACCCGCGACAGGACGGAAAGACCCCGUGGAGCUUUACUGUAGCCUGAUAUUGAAAUUCGGCACAGCUUGUACAGGAUAGGUAGGAGCCUUUGAAACGUGAGCGCUAGCUUACGUGGAGGCGCUGGUGGGAUACUACCCUAGCUGUGUUGGCUUUCUAACCCGCACCACUUAUCGUGGUGGGAGACAGUGUCAGGCGGGCAGUUUGACUGGGGCGGUCGCCUCCUAAAAGGUAACGGAGGCGCUCAAAGGUUCCCUCAGAAUGGUUGGAAAUCAUUCAUAGAGUGUAAAGGCAUAAGGGAGCUUGACUGCGAGACCUACAAGUCGAGCAGGGUCGAAAGACGGACUUAGUGAUCCGGUGGUUCCGCAUGGAAGGGCCAUCGCUCAACGGAUAAAAGCUACCCCGGGGAUAACAGGCUUAUCUCCCCCAAGAGUUCACAUCGACGGGGAGGUUUGGCACCUCGAUGUCGGCUCAUCGCAUCCUGGGGCUGUAGUCGGUCCCAAGGGUUGGGCUGUUCGCCCAUUAAAGCGGUACGCGAGCUGGGUUCAGAACGUCGUGAGACAGUUCGGUCCCUAUCCGUCGUGGGCGUAGGAAAUUUGAGAGGAGCUGUCCUUAGUACGAGAGGACCGGGAUGGACAUACCUCUGGUGUACCAGUUGUCGUGCCAACGGCAUAGCUGGGUAGCUAUGUGUGGACGGGAUAAGUGCUGAAAGCAUCUAAGCAUGAAGCCCCCCUCAAGAUGAGAUUUCCCAACUUCGGUUAUAAGAUC
rnacentral:rRNA from 1 species